AUGUUUCCUGAGAUUAAUGCUACAUUGAAAGAAGUUAAAAAGGAGACAGAAGUGGGACAACCGUCCAAUGCGAAGAACAAUGUUGGAGAUUUGGAGAAGGAGGUUUCUUUCAUUAAAGAAAUCAGCAAGUCUGGGAGUAGGGGCAAUCAUGUUUUUCAUUUUCCAGCUGAAGUUCGACUUAAGGCCCUCUGUCCCGACAUUACUUCGUGUCUUAUUAGGGAUUUUGACACGGGUGAGUAUCUUCCAUGUAAGAUCAUCAAAUCAAAUAAGCCAAAUGGUGAAAUGUCUCUUGGAAAAUGA